rnacentral:lncRNA from 1 species
AUUCUUUAGCCUGGCCAUUAGAUAGCAAAGAACAUGUAUAUUAUAGUUUUAUUCAUAAUUGUCGGAUACCUAUACUAGGGGUAUCUGUAGACUACAUGAAUACAUAUAGUCGUAGGGGUGCCGAAUAAGGAGAGUAUAUAUGUUGGUAUCAACCGGAGUUUCUAAACUGUCGGAUUGCAUGCUGAGUAUAUCGGAUUCGAGUUAUAACCGAAUUAACAUAGAUCUUAGUCUUAU